AAACGCUUAAAUAAAGGUUUAAAUCCUUUUCUUAGCA
rnacentral:tRNA from 1 species